AUUGAACGCUGGCGGCAGGCCUAACACAUGCAAGUCGAGCGGAGCGGCGGACGGGUGAGUAAUGCCUAGGAAUCUGCCUGGUAGUGGGGGAUAACGUCAGGAAACGGGCGCUAAUACCGCAUACUAUCAGAUGAGCCUAGGUGGGAUUAGCUAGUUGGUGGGGUAAAGGCCUACCAAGGCGACGAUCCGGAACUGGGCUGCGAGGAUGCUCAGUCAAACUGGAAAUGAGACACGGUCCAUACUCAUACGGGAUGCAGCAGUGGGGAAUAUUGGAGAAUGUGCGAAAGCCUGAUCCAGCCAUGCCGCGUGUGUGAAGAAGGUCUUCGGAUUGUAAAGCACUGUAAGUUGGGAGGCGUUACCAACAGAAUAAGCACCGGCUAACUUCGUGCCAGCAGCCGCGGUAAUAAC
rnacentral:rRNA from 1 species